CUUUUUGGACUCAGCCUGCCUGCACCCAGGUGAAAUAAAGAGCCAUGUUGCUCACACAAAGCCUGUUUGGUGGUCUCUUCACACCGACGCACAUGAAAUUUGGUGCCGUGACUCAGAUCGGGGGACCUCCCUUGGGAGAUCAAUCCGCUGUACUCCUGUUCUUUGCUCCUUGAGAAAGAUCCACCUAUGACCUCAGGUCCUCAGACCGACCAGCCCAAGGAACAUCUCACCAAUUUUAAAUCGGAUCUUCUCGGCUUAGCGGCUGAAGACUGACACUGCCGGAUCACCUCGGAAGCCCCCUAGACCAUCAUGGACGCCGAGCUUCAGGUAACUCUCACAGUGGAAGGUGGUUUUCAUGGAGACAAAAGGUGGAGAAGGACAGUCCCGUGAAGUGGAUGCAACAGUUGAAGGUAACAGUAAGUCUUCAUCAAGAGCCAGACAUGCCUUAGAAUAACAGGUAAAUAAAUAAUUUAAAGCAGAGGCCUCUCAUUACCAGACUAAGUCCCAACCAACCAAAUCAUCUUCCUCAUUUGAAAUUCCUCUAAGUGUCACAAAGGUUGUUGUGUUUGUGAUGUGGGUUUUGACUGUCCUCAUGUUACCAGAAAGAGGUCCUGAUCCAGACCCCAAAAGAGGGUUAUUGGAUCUUGCACAAAAAAGAAUUUGAGGCGAAUCCAUAAAGUGAAAGCAAGUUUACUAGGAAAGUAAUGGCUUUUUACUAGGAAAGUAAUACAGGAAUGGCUACUCCAUAGUCAGAGCUGCCCCACAGGUUGCUGGUUGCCCACUUUUCCGGUUAUUUCUUGAUGAUAUGCUAAACAAGAAGUGGAUUAUUCAUGCC
rnacentral:lncRNA from 1 species